rnacentral:rRNA from 1 species
CAAUAGCGUAUAUUAAAGUUGUUGCGGUUAAAAAGCUCGUAGUUGGAUUUCUGCUGAGGAUGACCGGUCCGCCCUCCGGGUGAGUAUCUGGCUCAGCCUUGGCAUCUUCCUGAAGAACGUAACUGCACUUGACUGUGUGGUGCGGUAUUUAGGACAUUUACUUUGAGGAAAUUAGAGUGUUUCAAGCAAGCGCACGCCUUGAAUACAUUAGCAUGGAAUAAUAAGAUAGGACCUCGGUUCUAUUUUGUUGGUUUCUAGAGCUGAGGUAAUGAUUGAUAGGGAUAGUUGGGGGCAUUCGUAUUUAACUGUCAGAGGUGAAAUUCUUGGAUUUGUUGAAGACGGACUACUGCGAAAGCAUUUGCCAAGGAUGUUUUCAUUGA